rnacentral:rRNA from 1 species
AGUGAACGCUGGCGGCGUGCCUAAUACAUGCAAGUCGAACGGAGAUUAAAUAGCUUGCUAUUUAAUCUUAGUGGCGCACGGGUGAGUAAUAUAUAGUUAAUCUGCCCCAUAGUGGAGGACAACAGUUAGAAAUGACUGCUAAUACUCCAUACUCCUUCUUAUCAUAAGUUAAGUCGGGAAAGUUUUUCGCUAUGGGAUGAGACUAUAUCGUAUCAGCUAGUUGGUGAGGUAAUGGCUCACCAAGGCUAUGACGCGUAACUGGUCUGAGAGGAUGAUCAGUCACAUUGGAACUGAGACACGGUCCAAACUCCUACGGGAGGCAGCAGUAGGGAAUAUUGCGCAAUGGGGGAAACCCUGACGCAGCAACGCCGCGUGGAGGAUGACACUUUUCGGAGCGUAAACUCCUUUUGUUAAGGAAGAAUAAUGACGGUACCUAACGAAUAAGCACCGGCUAACUCCGUGCCAGCAGCCGCGGUAAUACGGAGGGUGCAAGCGUUACUCGGAAUCACUGGGCGUAAAGGACGCGUAGGCGGAUUAUCAAGUCUCUUGUGAAAUCUAGUGGCUUAACCACUAAACUGCUUGGGAAACUGAUAAUCUAGAGUAAGGGAGAGGCAGAUGGAAUUCUUGGUGUAGGGGUAAAAUCCGUAGAGAUCAAGAAGAAUACUUAUUGCGAAGGCGAUCUGCUAGAACUUAACUGACGCUAAUGCGUGAAAGCGUGGGGAGCAAACAGG